CCUUGACCUCAAAUCGGG
rnacentral:rRNA from 3 species